rnacentral:rRNA from 1 species
GACGAACCGUCCAAACGUUAUUCGGAAUCACUGGGCUUAAAGGGCGCGUAGGCGGCCGAGCGGGUCACGGGUGAAAUCCUCCAGCUUAACUGGAGAACUGCUCUUGAUACCACUGCGGCUCGAGGAAGGAAGGGGUCAUGGGAACUGUCGGUGGAGCGGUGAAAUGCGUUGAUAUCGACAGGAACGCCGGUGGCGAAAGCGCAUGACUGGUCCUUUUCUGACGCUGAGGCGCGAAAGCCAGGGGAGCAAACGGG